GCAGGCAGGACCCCCAGCACUGCUGUGGUUCCGUGGUUGCCAGGCUUCCACAUGGUCAUUUAUGACCUGGCUCUGAGCUUUGGAGGAUUUGAGCUGGCACUGCCGGCACAGAGCCCCACAGGCAGCAUGUCCUUGGCAGGGCUGACUCCAAAGGAAAAGCACGGCUCCAAGAACCUCCUUCCCUGCAGACACCUUUACACCGUGGUGUAAAUCCUGUGGCACAGCCAGACCUCAGACACACAGUUAGGACAGAUCACCCAGGAUCCUGUGCCAGGAUAUCCAGGGUCUUGCUCUUCACGCUGCUCCUGCCAGGAGAGCUCAGGAUUGACCAUCAGACGCCACCAAAAAUGCAAAAUAUUGGUAUUAUGAUAUUACCAAACUACACCAUGUGUUGCUAAAUUAAUCUUAAUGUCGAUGUGACGACGAUGAUGAUGAUGAUGAUUGGGAUGUUGGCCAUUGCCUCUCUCCAGCUGUGGCUGGGUGGAGCGUCAAGGAGGUGACAGAUCCUCAGUGGUGCCAGGGGACAGGAAGGGUUCAGGGCUGUGGUGCCACCCAUCAUCUCUCCCAUCCAGGCAGGAGACAUGGUCCAGCUGCUCAAUGCCACAGCGCUGAAAUAAAGA
rnacentral:lncRNA from 12 species